GUGGGGAAUCUUCCGCAAUGGACGAAAGUCUGACGGAGCAACGCCGCGUGAGUGAUGAAGGUCUUCGGAUUGUAAAGCUCUGUUAAUCGGGACGAAAGAGCCUAGUGUGAAUAAUGCUAGGAAGUGACGGUACCGGAAUAGAAAGCCACGGCUAACUACGUGCCAGCAGCCGCGGUAAUACGUAGGUGGCAAGCGAUGUCCGGAAUUAUUGGGCGUAAAGCGCGCGCAGGCGGAUCUGCCAGUCUGUCUUAAGAGUUCCGGGCGUAACCCCGUGAUGGGAUGGAAACUACAGAUCUAGAGUGUCGGAGAGGAAAGUGGAAUUCCUAGUGUAGCGGUGAAAUGCGUAGAUAUUAGGAAGAACACCAGUGGCGAAGGCGACUUUCUGGACGAAAACUGACGCUGAGGCGCGAAAGCCAGGGGAGCGAACGGGAUUAGAUACCCUGGUAGUCC
rnacentral:rRNA from 1 species